GCUUGGCCUCAUCUGCAGGUCAAGUUCUCAGAUUCUUUUUCUGUUAAAAUGGAGGCUGGUCCCAAGAUGGAGUAGGUCUGGCCACUCAAGGUUAGAGAAGCAGUUCUGGGUGAGGUAGGGGGUAAGCAUGGCCUGGGCCUUGAGAUCCCAGCUUCUGUUUGAUAAAGACCAAGACCCCUGGCUGCGGUGAAUCAGCGAGGGCCUCUGGCUGAUGAAGGGUGUUCUUCAGACAUGCAGGAGCCAUGGGAACACCUCAGGACUGCUCAGCCAGUGACCCAGUCCAGCCCUGUUCUGUAAAGCCCGAGCCACUGUGAUCCUUUCGCAGGGGAAAUCACUGAGGAAGAGAGGGACCAGAGCUGUCCUCUAAACCACUGUGAUGGACCACUGGGACAGCAGGCCAGGCUGUCGGCUCUAGAGCGCUGCACCAGACAGAGAAUCCAGGUAAUCAUUGCUGGGAUCUACGAAGAGGCUGAGAUCAGCCUAUGUGCAAACUGGCAAGCUGGCUUCCUCCGAGGCUCGGGAGUCUUCAAGGAAGAAGCAACGGGAAGACUGUAAGAGUCCAAGGUGGAGGAUAACGCAACAGAGCAGCCACACACCAGAACUCCCAGAGACUGACAGCACCCACAGGAUCCACCCAAGCUCAAGACAGACAGACAAAAUCCAGUCGGGGAGUUCGGAGGUCUGCAGGAACAAAGCAAGGUGGCAAUCGCCCAGGGUGCUCGCUCACUCUGCUGUCAGCCGCCCUCAG
rnacentral:lncRNA from 1 species